CAGUAGCCGCGGGAAUACGUAGGGUGCGAGCGUUAAUCGGAAUUACUGGGCGUAAAGCGUGCGCAGGCGGUUAUAUAAGACAGAUGUGAAAUCCCCGGGCUCAUCCUGGGACCUGCAUUUGUGACUGUAUAGCUAGAGUACGGUAGAGGGGGAUGGAAUUCCGCGUGUAGCAGUGAAAUGCGUAGAUAUGCGGAGGAACACCGAUGGCGAAGGCAAUCCCCUGGACCUGUACUGACGCUCAUGCACGAAAGCGUGGGGAGCAAACAGGAUUAGAUACCCGUGUAGUCCCUGUCUCUUAUAC
rnacentral:rRNA from 1 species